rnacentral:misc_RNA from 1 species
UACGAGGGGUCCUAGCGUUGUUCGGAAUCAUUGGGCGUAAAGCGGGUGUAGGCGGCCAUCCAAGUCAGAUGUGAAAUCCCUGGGCUUAACCUAGGAAGUGCAUUUGAUACUGUUUGGCUUGAGUACGGGAGAGGGUAGUGGAAUUCCUGGUGUAGUGGUGAAAUACGUAGAUAUCAGGAGGAACACCGGUGGCGAAGGCGGCUACCUGGCCCAGUACUGACGCUCAGACCCGAAAGCGUGGGGAUCAAACAGG